rnacentral:rRNA from 1 species
UGGGGAAUAUUGCACAAUGGGCGAAAGCCUGAUGCAGCAACGCCGCGUGAGUGAUGAAGGUCUUCGGAUUGUAAAGCUCUGUCUUUUGGGACGAUAAUGACGGUACCAAAGGAGGAAGCCACGGCUAACUACGUGCCAGCAGCCGCGGUAAUACNUAGGUGGCGAGCGUUGUCCGGAUUUACUGGGCGUAAAGGGUGCGUAGGCGGAUGUUUAAGUGAGAUGUGAAAUACCCGG